GGACUACCAGGGUAUCUAAUCCAUUUCGAUAACCAUACUUUCGUGCCUUAAUGUCAAUAUUUACUUAGAUUAUUGCCUUCGCCUUCGGUCUUCUCUUGAGGUUAAAUGAAUUUUAUCUCUUAUCUCAAUGUUAUAUAAUCUUCCAUAAUAUUCUAGAUUAAUAGUUAAAUUUAUUUAUUUUCAUAUUUUAUAUAUUAUUUCAUAUUAUUCCAUAUACGCACCUUUUAAACCCAAUAAUUAUGCUUAAUGUUUGCCCUUCUAGUAUUACCGCGGCGGCUGGCAC
rnacentral:rRNA from 1 species